rnacentral:rRNA from 1 species
CCUUAGAGUUUGAUCCUGGCUCAGAGCGAUCGCUGGCGGCAGGCUUAACACAUGCAAGUCGAGCGGGCGUAGCAAUACGUCAGCGGCAGACGGGUGAGUAACGCGUGGGAACGUACCUUUUGGUUCGGAACAACACAGGGAAACUUGUGCUAAUACCGGAUAAGCCCUUACGGGGAAAGAUUUAUCGCCGAAAGAUCGGCCCGCGUCUGAUUAGCUAGUCGGUGAGGUAACGGCUCACCAAGGCGACGAUCAGUAGCUGGUCUGAGAGGAUGAUCAGCCACAUUGGGACUGAGACACGGCCCAAACUCCUACGGGAGGCAGCAGUGGGGAAUAUUGGACAAUGGGGGCAACCCUGAUCCAGCCAUGCCGCGUGAGUGAUGAAGGCCCUAGGGUUGUAGAGCUCUUUUGUGCGGGAAGAUAAUGACGGUACCGCAAGAAUAAGCCCCGGCUAACUUCGUGCCAGCAGCCGCGGUAAUACGAAGGGGGCUAGCGUUGCUCGGAAUCACUGGGCGUAAAGGGUGCGUAGGCGGAUCUUUAAGUCAGAGGUGAAAGCCUGGAGCUCAACUCCAGAACUGCCUUUGAUACUGGGGAUCUUGAGUUCGGGAGAGGUGAGUGGAACUGCGAGUGUAGAGGUGAAAUUCGUAGAUAUUCGCAAGAACACCAGUGGCGAAGGCGGCUCACUGGCCCGAUACUGACGCUGAGGCACGAAAGCGUGGGGAGCAAACAGGAUUAGAUACCCUGGUAGUCCACGCCGUA